rnacentral:rRNA from 1 species
GUGGGGAAUCUUGCGCAAUGGGCGAAAGCCUGACGCAGCCAUGCCGCGUGAAUGAUGAAGGUCUUAGGAUUGUAAAAUUCUUUCACCGGGGACGAUAAUGACGGUACCCGGAGAAGAAGCCCCGGCUAACUUCGUGCCAGCAGCCGCGGUAAUACGAAGGGGGCUAGCGUUGCUCGGAAUUACUGGGCGUAAAGGGCGCGGAGGCGGACAGUUUAGUCAGAGGUGAAAGCCCAGGGCUCAACCGUGGAAUUGCCUUUGAUACUGGCUGUCUUGAGUACGGGAGAGGUGAGUGGAACUCCGAGUGUAGAGGUGAAAUUCGUAGAUAUUCGGAAGAACACCAGUGGCGAAGGCGACUCACUGGCCCGUUACUGACGCUGAGGCGCGAAAGCGUGGGGAGCAAACAGGAUUAGAAACCCGAGUAGUCC